rnacentral:rRNA from 1 species
UACAGAGGGUGCAAGCGUUGUUCGGAAUUACUGGGCGUAAAGGGCGCGUAGGCGGUUUAGCAAGUCAGAUGUGAAAUCCCGGGGCUUAACUCCGGAAGUGCAUUUGAAACUGCUAGGCUAGAGUGCAGUAGAGGAUGGCGGAAUACCCAGUGGAGAGGUGAAAUUCGUAGAUAUUGGGUGGAACACCGGUGGCGAAGGCGGCCAUCUGGGCUGUAACUGACGCUGAGGCGCGAGAGCGUGGGGAGCAAACAGG